CCGAGAUUGGAGCCUUCGCGCUCGAACU
rnacentral:sRNA from 1 species